rnacentral:rRNA from 1 species
UACGUAGGGUGCAAGCGUUGUCCGGAAUUAUUGGGCGUAAAGAGCUCGUAGGCGGUCUGUCGCGUCUGCUGUGAAAACUCAGGGCUUAACCCUGAGCUUGCAGUGGGUACGGGCAGACUAGAGUGCGGUAGGGGAGACUGGAAUUCCUGGUGUAGCGGUGAAAUGCGCAGAUAUCAGGAGGAACACCGGUGGCGAAGGCGGAUCUCUGGGCCAUUACUGACACUGAGGAGCGAAAGCGUGGGGAGCGAACAGG